AUGGCUCUAAGCUUUCCUGACCUCAUAGCUGUGUUGCUGUGGGGCCCAUCAGUGAAGCUGCCAGAUGCAAAGGAGACCUGCCUAGAUAAUCCCCGGACAAAACAGACUCAGGAAAUGAAGAGAGGCUGCCCGGAUGGAUCCAGUAGGUCACAUUUCUGCAAUCUCUUUUGGACCAUGGAGUCUUCAACUUAUGCAGUAUAUUGUGAGACCAGCAUUCCAUGGAACACUUCGGUCAAGGCUACUGUGUGAAAUAAAACAGACAAAGGACUUAGAACAGGGCAUACAGCCCUGUGUAUGCCCUUGGUGCCUUACUAGUUGGGAAGUGCUAAUGCAACAGCACACCUUCUCUUCUGGCUGUCUUAGCAUCCCAUGCCGUCCGUAAGUCAACCAGCCUAGACCAAAGGCAUAGUUCGUUGAUGGAACAUUAUAAGAAAGGAGCCCAAAGAAUGUUUCCUUUUUCUUUGUCUUUAGUCCUUCCCUUAAAAAUGGCAUUUCAAGAGCUCUAGAACCUCAGUGUGGAGGGAGGUGGCAAUGUCCCUGAGAUACGAUAAAAAUGCAUAGGGAAUUCUUGGAGGUAGAUUGUGGCACCUGAAUUGUGUGGUUCCUAUAUUAACUAUAUUCUCUUCCUAUAUGUAGAGAAUCUAGAAAAAUGGUGCAGAUGAACCUAUUUGUAGGGCAGAAAUAGAGAUGCAGACAUAGAGAACUGAAGUGUGGACAUCGGGAGGGGCAGGGAGCGGGGGGUGAACCGGGAGGACAGGAUUGGCAUAUAUACACACACUACCAUGUGUAAAAUUGACAGCUAGCAGGAACUUGCUGCAGUACAGGGAGCUCGGCUUGGUGCUCUGUGCUGACCUAGAGGGCUGGGAUGCGGAAGGGUGGGAGGGAAGCUUAAGAGGGAGGGGUUAUAUGUAUACAUAUAGCUGAUUCAUCUCAUUGUAUAGUAGAAAGUAACACGACAUUGUAAGGCAACUCUACCCCAAUUAAAAAAUAACAAAUGUACCCGUAUUGGUUCCUUACCUUGUGAUAAAGGUACCAAAGUUGAGUUAGGUGUUAACAGUAGGGAAAACUGGUGAGGGGGACAUAGAGAAUGCUCUGUAUUAUCUUUUCAAAUUUCCUGCAAGUCUAAAAUGAUUCUAAAAUGUAAAAUGUAAUAUAAAAGCAUUUGUGUGCAUUGGUAUCAAUAAAAAAAGGCACCAAAUAGAGACCCUCUAAGAA
rnacentral:lncRNA from 1 species